UAAAGAGAGUUACUGUUGCCACAA
rnacentral:piRNA from 1 species